GCCAUGCCUUAAGGAACGCGAUGUCAGGAUUAGCUAGUUGGUGAGGUAAAGGCUCACCAAGGCGACGAUCCGUAGCUGGUCUGAGAGGACGACCAGCCACACUGGAACUGAGACACGGYCCAGACUCCUACGGGAGGCAGCAGUGGGGAAUUUUGGACAAUGGGCGCAAGCCUGAUCCAGCCAUGCCGCGUGAGUGAAGAAGGCCUUCGGGUUGUAAAGCUCUUUCGCACGGAAAGAAAACUUAUCUCCUAAUACUAGGUGAGGUUGACGGUACCUUGAUAAGAAGCACCGGCUAACUACGUGCCAGCAGCCGCGGUAAUACGUAGGGUGCGAGCGUUAAUCGGAAUUACUGGGCGUAAAGCGUGCGCAGGCGGUUUUGUAAGUCAGAUGUGAAAUCCCCGGGCUCAACCUGGGAACUGCGUUUGAAACUACAAAAGCUAGGAGUU
rnacentral:rRNA from 1 species